UACGUAGGGUGCGAGCGUUGUCCGGAAUUAUUGGGCGUAAAGAGCUCGUAGGCGGUGUGUCACGUCGGCCCGUGAAAACCUGCAGCUUAACUGUGGGCGUGCGGUCGAUACGGGCAUCACUGGAGUUCGGCAGGGGAGACUGGAAUUCCUGGUGUAGCGGUGAAAUGCGCAGAUAUCAGGAGGAACACCGGUGGCGAAGGCGGGUCUCUGGGCCGAUACUGACGCUGAGGAGCGAAAGCGUGGGGAGCAAACAGG
rnacentral:rRNA from 1 species